rnacentral:tRNA from 1 species
GGCGAGGUGGCCGAGUGGUUAAGGCGAUGGACUACUAAUCCAUUGGGCUCUGCCCGCGUGGGUUUGAGUCCCACCCUCGUCG